rnacentral:rRNA from 1 species
GCUUACGGCCACACCUCCCUGAGCACGCCCGAUCUAGUCUGAUCUCGGAAGCUAAGGCCAGGGUCGGGCCCGGUUCGUACUGGAUGGGAGACCGCCUGGGAAUACCAGGUGCUGUAAGCC